rnacentral:rRNA from 1 species
AUACGUAGGGUGCGAGCGUUAAUCGGAAUUACUGGGCGUAAAGCGUGCGCAGGCGGUUUUGUAAGACAGUGGUGAAAUCCCCGGGCUCAACCUGGGAACUGCCAUUGUGACUGCAAGGCUGGAGUGCGGCAGAGGGGGGUGGAAUUCCGCGUGUAGCAGUGAAAUGCGUAGAUAUGCGGAGGAACACCGAUGGCGAAGGCAAUCCCCUGGGCCUGCACUGACGCUCAUGCACGAAAGCGUGGGGAGCAAACAGGAUUAGAUACCCUGGUAGUCCACGCCCUAAACGAUGUCAACUGGUUGUUGGGAAUUUAUUUUCUCAGUAACGAAGCUAACGCGUGAAGUUGACCGCCUGGGGAGUACGGCCGCAAGGUUAAAACUCAAAUGAAUUGACGGGG